rnacentral:rRNA from 1 species
GACGGACGCUGGCGGCGUGCCUAAUACAUGCAAGUAGAACGCUGAAGCUUGGUGCUUGCACCGAGCGGAUGAGUUGCGAACGGGUGAGUAACGCGUAGGUAACCUGCCUGGUAGCGGGGGAUAACUAUUGGAAACGAUAGCUAAUACCGCAUAAGAGUAGAUGUUGCAUGACAUUUGCUUAAAAGGUGCAAUUGCAUCACUACCAGAUGGACCUGCGUUGUAUUAGCUAGUUGGUGAGGUAACGGCUCACCAAGGCAACGAUACAUAGCCGACCUGAGAGGGUGAUCGGCCACACUGGGACUGAGACACGGCCCAGACUCCUACGGGAGGCAGCAGUAGGGAAUCUUCGGCAAUGGACGGAAGUCUGACCGAGCAACGCCGCGUGAGUGAAGAAGGUUGUCGGAUCGUAAAGCUCUGUUGUAAGAGAAGAACGAGUGUGAGAGUGGAAAGUUCACACUGUGACGGUAUCUUACCAGAAAGGGACGGCUAACUACGUG